AGAGUUUGAUCAUGGCUCAGAUUGAACGCUGGCGGCAUGCUUUACACAUGCAAGUCGAACGGCAGCACGGGUGCUUGCACCUGGUGGCGAGUGGCGAACGGGUGAGUAAUAUAUCGGAACGUACCCGGAAAUGGGGGAUAACGUAGCGAAAGUUACGCUAAUACCGCAUAUGCCCUGAGGGGGAAAGCGGGGGAUUCGUAAGAACCUCGCGUUUUCGGAGCGGCCGAUAUCGGAUUAGCUAGUAGGUGAGGUAAAGGCUCACCUAGGCGACGAUCCGUAGCUGGUCUGAGAGGACGACCAGCCACACUGGAACUGAGACACGGUCAGACUCCUAUGGGAGGCAGCAGUGGGGAAUUUUGGACAAUGGGCGCAAGCCUGAUCCAGCCAUGCCGCGUGAGUGAAGAAGGCCUUCGGGUUGUAAAGCUCUUUCAGCCGGAAAGAAAACACACAAGUUAAUACCCUGUGUGGAUGACGGUACCGGAAGAAGAAGCACCGGCUAACUACGUGCCAGCAGCCGCGGUAAUACGUAGGGUGCGAGCGUUAAUCGGAAUUACUGGGCGUAAAGCGUGCGCAGGCGGUUUUGUAAGACGGAUGUGAAAUCCCCGGGCUUAACCUGGGAACUGCAUUUGUGACUGCAAGGCUAGAGUACGGCAGAGGGGGGUAGAAUUCCACGUGUAGCAGUGAAAUGCGUAGAUAUG
rnacentral:rRNA from 1 species